UGCAACGAAGGCGAACGGUUG
rnacentral:miRNA from 1 species